AGCUUUAAGAACAGAUUUAAGGUGAGGCCUGCCCAGUGAUUCUUUUUAACGGCCGCGGUACUUUGACCGUGCUAAGGUAGCAUAAUCACUUGACUUUUAAAUGAAGUCUGGAAUGAAAGGAGAAACGGAGAAAAGCUGUCUUUUUUAUAUUAUUUUGAAUUUACUAAUCAGGUGAAAAGGCCUGAAUGUGAAAAAAGACGAGAAGACCCUUAGAGUUUUUUAAGGAUUUGGUUGGGGUGAUCUAAGAUAAAAACAUCUUUUUAUUAUAAGACGGUUUUCAUGUCAAGAUAAACUACCUAAGGGAUAACAGCAUAAUCUUUUAUGGUUUAUGACCUCGAUGUUGGACUAGGAUAUAGGUUAGCUAGCAGUUAACUUUCUUUUUUCUGUUCGAAAAAUUCUUCCU
rnacentral:rRNA from 1 species